UACGUAGGGUGCAAGCGUUGUCCGGAAUUAUUGGGCGUAAAGAGCUCGUAGGCGGUUCGUCGCGUCGGCUGUGAAAUCCCGAGGCUCAACCUCGGGUCUGCAGUCGAUACGGGCAGACUGGAGGUAUGCAGGGGAGAACGGAAUUCCUGGUGUAGCGGUGAAAUGCGCAGAUAUCAGGAGGAACACCGGUGGCGAAGGCGGUUCUCUGGGCAUGUCCUGACGCUGAGGAGCGAAAGUGUGGGGAGCGAACAGG
rnacentral:rRNA from 1 species